rnacentral:tRNA from 1 species
UUAAUUGAAACCAAAAAAGAGGUAAAUUAUUGUUAAUAAUUUUAAUGAUUUUAAUAUUAAAAAUCCAAUUAAU